rnacentral:lncRNA from 10 species
UGCGCGCCGCACGCCUGACUGGCUUUUGUAUUUUUUUGGUGGAGACGGGGUUUCGCUGUGUUGGCUGGGCUGGUCUCCAGCUCCUAACUGCGAGUGAUCCGCCAGCCUCGGCCUCCCCAGGUGCCCGGAUUGCAGACGGAGUCUCGUUCACUCAGUGCUCAAUGGUGCCCAGGCUGGAGUGCAGUGGCGUGAUCUGGGCUCGCAACAACCUCCACCUCCCAGCCGCCUGCCUUGGCCUCCCAAAGUGCGAGAUUGCAGCCUCUGCCUGGCUGCCACCCCGUCUGGGAAGUGAGGAGCGUCUCUGCCUGGCCGCCCAUCGUCUGGGAUGUGAGGAGCCCCUCUGCCUGGCUGCCCAGUCUGGGAAGUGAGGAGCGCCUCUUCCCGGCCGCCAUCCCAUCUAGGAAGUGAGGAGCGUCUCUGCCCCGCCGCCCAUCGUCUGAGAUGUGGGGAGCGCCUCUGCCCCACCGCCCCGUCUGGGACGUGAGGAGCGCCUCUGCCCGGCCACGACCCUGUCUGGGAGCAUUUAGGGAGAUAAGAGGGGAGAGUGCCUAUGUGCACUGCUCUCAAAGUGUGGUUGUUACAUAGAAAAGCGGAGAAAAAGUAGAAGGUAAUUUGGAUUUUGACCUUCAAAAGGUCUAAACAAAAGCAGCUAAAUAAGCACUGGCCUAGAAAUCAGCGAUAUCAAAACAAUUACAACUCAUCCAGCUCUCAGAUGCUUUGAGAAAUUCAGAGGAUAUAUGACAAUAACUGUAAACUAGUGGAGAAGAAAUAGAAAAAAAGAAGGGUACACAGACAAGAUUUGAACAUGGAUAGUUAUUGCUCCGAUCUUCGAUAAAACCAUUUGAAAAUGGACAGAGUGUAAAAUAAACCUGAAAUCAUGAAGUAAAACCUGUUUGGACUAAGUUUACAAUUAAUUAGCUAAAAGUAUGUUGUUGCUCCUAAAUAGAAAAAAGUUUGCGUUAGGAAAGUUCAAUUAAAAAAAUAGAGGACAUCUCUAUAUCUCCCUCAUA